rnacentral:tRNA from 1 species
GGAGGGAUGGCCGAGCGGUUGAAGGCGGCGGUCUUGAAAACCGUUGGGCGCGCAAGCGUCUCGGGGGUUCGAAUCCCCCUCCCUCCGCCA